GGCCGGGUCCCGCGCAAUGGGAACCUGUGAACCUCGUCAGGUCCGGAAGGAAGCAGCGAUAAGCAGGGAAUCCCAUGUGCCGCGGGCGCACCCGGUCCUG
rnacentral:SRP_RNA from 1 species